rnacentral:rRNA from 1 species
UACGGAGGGUGCAAGCGUUAUCCGGAUUCACUGGGUUUAAAGGGUGCGUAGGUGGGCAGGUAAGUCCGUGGUGAAAUCUCUGAGCUUAACUCAGAAACUGCCGUGGAUACUAUUUGUCUUGAAUGUUGUGGAGGUGAGCGGAAUAUGUCAUGUAGCGGUGAAAUGCUUAGAUAUGACAUAGAACACCAAUUGCGAGGGCAGCUCACUACACAAUUAUUGACGCUGAGGCACGAAAGCGUGGGGAUCAAACAGG